GACGAACGCUGGCGGCGUGCUUAACACAUGCAAGUCGAACGGAAAGGCCCUGCUUUUGCGGGUUGCUCGAUUGGCGAACGGGUGAGUAAAACGUGAGUAACCUGCCCUUGACUUUGGGAUAACUUCAGGAAACUCGGGCUAAUACCGGAUAGGAGCUCCUGCUGCAUGUUGGUGGAUGGUAAGUUUCGGCGGUUGGGGAUGGACUCGCUGCUUAUCAGCUUGUUGGUGGGGUAGUGGCUUACCAAGGCUUUGACGGGUAGCCGGCCUGAGAGGGUGACCGGCCACCUUGCGACUAAGAUACGGCCCAGAAUCGUACGGUAGGCAGCAGUGGGGAAUAUUGCACAAUGGGCGGAAGCCUGAUGCAGCAACGCUGCGUGCGGGAUGACGGCCUACGGGUUGAAAACCACUUUCGCAUGUGACGAAGAGUGAGUGACGGUAAUGGGUAAAGAAGCACCGGCUAACUACGUG
rnacentral:rRNA from 1 species